rnacentral:rRNA from 1 species
UACAGAGGUCUCAAGCGUUGUUCGGAUUCAUUGGGCGUAAAGGGUGCGUAGGCGGCGGCGUAAGUCGGGUGUGAAAUCUCGGGGCUUAACUCCGAAAUUGCAUUCGAUACUGCGGUGCUUGAGGACUGGAGAGGAGACUGGAAUUCACGGUGUAGCAGUGAAAUGCGUAGAUAUCGUGAGGAAGACCGGUGGCGAAGGCGGGUCUCUGGACAGUUCCUGACGCUGAGGCACGAAGGCCAGGGGAGCAAACGGG